GAGAUGGACAGGCCUUCUCAGAGUUGCCACCCAACUCUGUGGCAAGGGAGAGGGAAGGAGAGAAGCCCACCGCGAUCCAGGAAAAUGCCUCCGAAUGAGGUGAGGAAGCCGGGCUGUGGGCCCGAGAAGCAGCCUGGCCGGACACUGCAGACCUAGUGCAGCUGGGAAGGGCCGCGGGGCCUGGCCGAGCCCACAGACCACGGGUCCCUCAGCCUUCCCCGGCUCCCUUAGCGUCAUGCUGGAGAGGGCGGUCACCGUCAGGUGGCUACUCUGUGUCCCCUGGAGUGGUUCGUUCUCUAGAACGCCCCAUCCCCAUUUUGCAGAUGAGGAAACUGAGGCUCAGAGACAAUAAGGACUUGCUCAGAGUCACACAGCUCCCAGUGGCAGAUCCUGGUUUCAAUCCUUUGUUGUUAAGGCUUGUGCUGUCAGUGGGAAGCUGAAAGGCCUUGGAAGCAGCUGGUCCAGCUCGCUCCCUUUGCCCUCCUCCCACUGUCCCCAGUUUGCUGAGGAGGAAGUCCAGGUCCCGAGGCAGGUGUGACUUUCCCCAGGUCUUCCGCUGAGUCAAGGCAGCCCCCUGCCCAUGGGUCUGGCUGCCUGUUUUCUGGCUGCCUGGUCGGGCCCCGCCUUGGCCUGUGGCCUCCCUGACCGCUCCCUCCAGGGUCACUCCUGGUUUACACCCACUGGCUCCUUCUGCCCGUCCCCGCAUGGGCCUCUGGGUGUCUGAGAUGCUAGGGGUGGAAAGGAACUUACCGACCUGUGGCUGGCUGGAGGCGGGGGUGAGGGGCAUUGGCCAGGGCCAUGUGGUGACGCGCACUGGGACGUGGACACAGGUCUGCCCAGUCCUUUCUGUUGCGCUGUGCUGCCUCAGCUGCCCGUGGGGUUGUGGGGCAGCUACGCUGGGGAAAGAGGGAGGAAAGACCAGGCCCAGGACCGGCGUGGCCUCUGCUAGACUCCAUGACUCUGCCGUGGCCCCUGGUUGACCCUUUGUGGGUCUCGGCCUCAUCUGCCCACUGAGGGAGGGACCUGAACUCCUGACCGGCUGGGCCUGAGCCGACUCAGAGGAAACCUGUCUUUCUGGGCCAGUUUCUGUGUCGCUCAGUCGUUCCUUCCCGCAACCAGUCCCAUCAUGGUUGCUGUGAUGGUUAACGAGCCAGUGGGCCUUCUUGCCUUUGGAUCUUUGGUGUCCCUCACCAAGCAGGCCUGUAGUUAUGAUCUGUCAAAAUGAAAAGAAACAAAGAGCCCUCCCCCACCUUUCCCCAGAAAUGCCCUUCCUGGUCCCCCGUGUACACCGCCUCUCACGGAUCAGGCUCCGCACGGUGGUUAUUCGGAUCCUUCUUCACUCCCUACCAGAGUGAUCUCUCUAAGCCUAAAUUGGAUCCUGGCUCUCUCCUGCCCUCAGGAUAGCAUCUGACCUCUGGGCUCUGACCUAUAGGGACCCCAUGCAUGUCCCAUGCAUGUCCAGUCAGUGUCCUGCAUCGGAUCCUCCAGCCAGGCCCCCUGAAGGGCAGGUUCUUUCAUGCCCAUGUCCUCAGGGGUCCUACUUGAGGAACUUCCUCCUCUCCCCUGCCUGUAUGGCACGUGUCUGUCCAUUCCUGCUUGAUAAGUGGUGAGGGCUCAGCAAUUUUGGUAGCUAUGGUGCUGCUCGCCAGGGGGAUGGUGACAUUUCCCUCCCAGUGGUGGGGUCACUGCAAGGCCUCUGUCCAGUGUGCUCUGUCCGGUGCCAUGGCCAAGGCUGGUGAGACCCUUGCACACUGAAUUGAAUGUCUGAACCAGGAGGUCAUCCUUGGCCAUGGGGGGAUUAUUUUGGAUCCUGGCCAAGGUCAUGGGUGAAAGUGGACAGCAGCAGAAGCUCAGUUGUAUCUUUCUUCCCCUAAUUCUAAAAUAUUCAGUUUUGCCAUCCCCAGGAUAGUCUUAGAAUCUUGGGGUACAGAGUUGGCUUCGCUGUAUAUGCACCACCUUACCAAUGUGUUCGUGCAUUGUUCUGGGGGAGGAUACACAGUUUCAUGACCAUAGGAGUGACCUCUCUGGUCUCAUUGCUCCCUGCUGACUCUGACAGUGUUCUAUCCUCAAGGACCCACUUGUAGCUCUUCAGCCCCAAAGAUCCCCUCCCGUUCCCCCUCCUUGAGACACUCACACCGUCUCAUAAUCUGUAGCUCAGUUUAGACACCCCCUCCUCCUGGCAGCCUCUUCUGACCUUACAGGCUGGUCAGGGACCUUCUUGCUUCCAUGCUCUGUGUGGCCAUUGGCAGCCCACCAGGGGGGACUAACGUUAGGCGAGUUUAUUAGUCCUCUCUGUUGUGCCUGUACAUGUCUGUGUGUAUUUUCUGUAUUACGCAUUUCUUCCCAUACCUUUUUACUUCUCUCUUCCUGCUUUACUUUGUUCUUUAAAAAAAAAACCUUGAAAUAGAUAUUGAACUCAUUAAAUUUCAACUCUUUUUCUGACAAACGCAUGUAAGACAUUAAAACCCAGAAUGUUUUCUUAUGUUUUGUUUUAGCAGCAUCCCACAGGUUUUGCAAUGGAGAGUAUUCAUUAUCAGUUAGUUCACAAUACUUGCUAACUUCCAUUCUCUUUUUGAUGCCCGUAACGGGACCGCUUUUAAAUUUGCAAACAUACGGAAUUGCAAGUUAUCUUUUACCUCGUGGUCAGAGAACAUGUUCUGUUCAUUUCAGUCCUCGGAAGUGUAUUCAGACUUGCUUUGUGGCCCAGUUUUGUAAAUAUGACUGUGGACCCUCCUCACUUACUCAGGGACACUACUGCCCCAGCAAUUCUCGGCCCUCUUUCCUGCAUCAGUUUUUCCUCCCUCCUGGAUCAUUCCCAUCAGUGUACAAGCCUGCUGUUAUUUCUAAUACCUUAAAAAAAAAAAAAAAAAA
rnacentral:lncRNA from 9 species